GUCGAGGGGCAGCACAAGUGUAGCAAUACUCUGGUGGCGACCGGCGCACGGGCGAUUAUCGCGUAUGCAACCUACCACCUUCCACAGGGGGAUAGCCUUCCGAUAGGGAGAUUAAUACCGCAUGAAACAGGGGCCCCGCAUGGGGAUAUUUGUUAAAGAUUUAUCGGUGGAAGAUGGGCAUGCGUUCCAUUAGCUAGUUGGGGGGGUAACGGCCCACCAAGGCAACGAUGGAUAGGGGAACUGAGAGGUUUAUCCCCCACACUGGGACUGAGACACGGCCCAGACUCCUACGGGAGGCAGCAGUGAGGAAUAUUGGUCAAUGGGCGGGAGCCUGAACCAGCCAAGUCGCGUGGAGGACGACGGUUCUAUGGAUUGUAAACUCCUUUUGCACUGGGGUAAAACGCGGGACGUGUCCCGCCUUGACCAAGUACAGUGCGAAUAAGCAUCGGCUAACUCCGUGCCAGCAGCCGCGGUAAUACGGAGGAUGCGAGCGUUAUCCGGAUUUAUUGGGUUUAAAGGGUGCGUAGGCGGCCCCUUAAGUCAGCGGUAAAAUUUCUGCGCUCAACGCAGUCGUGCCGUUGAAACUGGGGGGCUUGAGUCUAGAUGAAGUGGGCGGAAUUUGUAGUGUAGCGGUGAAAUGCUUAUAUAUUACAAGGAACUCCGAUUGCGCAGGCCGCUCACUAUGCUAUCACUGACGCUGAAGCACGAAAGCGUGGGUAUUAAACAGGAAUAGAUACCCUGGUAUUCCACGCAGUAAACAAUGAUCACUCGCUGUCUGCGAUAUAAAAUAGGGGGGCCAGCGAAAAAGUUAAAUGAUUCCCCUGGGGGGGACCCCCGGGCACCGGGGAAAA
rnacentral:rRNA from 1 species